UGUUCGAGUUUGUUGAUUGUAGGUUAGACUUUUCGCCUUUUACUAAAGAUUUCCGUGGGGGGGAACUUUUGCGAGUGACCUGUAUUUUUGGGGGCUCUGCUCACAGCAGAGCU